rnacentral:rRNA from 1 species
AGAGUUUGAUCAUGGCUCAGGACGAACGCUGGCGGCGUGCUUAACACAUGCAAGUCGAGCGAUGAAACUUCUUCGGAAGUGGAUUAGCGGCGGACGGGUGAGUAACACGUGGGCAACCUGCCCUAUAGAGGGGAAUAGCCUUCCGAAAGGAAGAUUAAUACCCCAUAAGAUUGUAGUUUCACAUGGAACAGCAAUUAAAGGAGCAAUCCGCUAUAGGAUGGGCCCGCGGCGCAUUAGCUAGUUGGUGAGGUAACGGCUCACCAAGGCGACGAUGCGUAGCCGACCUGAGAGGGUGAUCGGCCACAUUGGGACUGAGACACGGCCCAGGCUCCUACGGGAGGCAGCAGUGGGGAAUAUUGCACAAUGGGGGAAACCCUGAUGCAGCAACGCCGCGUGAGUGAUGAAGGCCUUCGGGUUGUAAAGCUCUGUCUUUGGGGACGAUAAUGACGGUACCCAAGGAGGAAGCCACGGCUAACUACGUGCCAGCAGCCGCGGUAAUACGUAGGUGGCAAGCGUUGUCCGGAUUUACUGGGCGUAAAGGGAGCGUAGGCGGAUUUUUAAGUGGGAUGUGAAAUACUCGGGCUCAACCUGAGUGCUGCAUUCCAAACUGGAAGUCUAGAGUACAGGAGGGGAAAGUGGAAUUCCUAGUGUAGCGGUGAAAUGCGUAGAUAUUAGGAAGAACACCGGUGGCGAAGGCGACUUUCUGGACUGUAACUGACGCUGAGGCUCGAAAGCGUGGGGAGCGAACAGGAUUAGAUACCCUAGUAGUCC